GGCCAUGUAGCUCAGCGGUUAGAGCAUCGCCCUCAUAAGGCGGAGGUCCCCGGUUCAAAUCCGGGCAUGGCCACCA
rnacentral:tRNA from 1 species